rnacentral:rRNA from 1 species
UGGGGAAUAUUGCACAAUGGGCGAAAGCCUGAUGCAGCUAUGCCGCGUGUAUGAAGAAGGCCUUUGGGUUGUAAAGUACUUUCGUCAGGGAAGAAUAAAAAGAAACUAAUAUUUUCUUUUAAUGACGUUACCUGAAAAAGAAGCACCGGCUAACUCCGUGCCAGCAGCCGCGGUAAUACGGAGGGUGCUAGCGUUAAUCAGAAUUACUGGGCGUAAAGAGUGCGUAGGUUGUUUAUUAAGUCAGAUGUGAAAUCCCUAAGCUUAACUUAGGAACUGCAUUUGAAACUAAUAAACUAGAGUAUCGUAGAGGGAGGUAGAAUUCUAGGUGUAGCGGUGAAAUGCGUAGAUAUCUAGAGGAAUACCUGUGGCGAAAGCGACCUCCUGGACGAAUACUGACACUGAGGCACGAAAGCGUGGGGAGCAAACAGG